AUUGAACGCUGGCGGAAGGCCUAACACAUGCAAGUCGAACGAGUGGCGGACGGGUGAGUAAUGUCUGGGAAAAUGCCUGAUGGAGGGGGAUAAAUACUGGAAACGGUAGCUAAUACCGCAUACCAUCGGAUGUGCCCAGAUGGGAUUCGCUAGUAGGUGGGGUAAAGGCUCACCUAGGCGACGAUACCUAGCUGGUCUGAGCGGAUGCACAGCACCACUGGAACUGAGACACGGUCCAGACUACUACGGGAGGCAGCAGUGGGGAAUAUGGCACAAUGGGCGCAAGCCUGAUGCAGCCAUGCCGCGUGUAUGAAGAAGGCCUUCGGGUUGUAAAGUACUUUCAGCGGGGAGGCGUUACCCGCAGAAGAAGCACCUGCUAACUCCGUGCCAGCAGCCGCGGUAAUAC
rnacentral:rRNA from 1 species